rnacentral:rRNA from 1 species
CAAAAGGGGACCGGCCCGGUUACCCUGUCGUUAUGUUUCCCCACCCGUGUUAACGUCACCGCCGGUCCGCCUAAAACGGACGUAGAAGAAGAGGUCUUCAACGUUCUAUGCAAUGUAUUUCCGUUGGGGACUGCACGCAUUUAAUGGGUGGAGUGUUCAGUGUUGGGACAACUACCUCUGGACCGGCACGCUCCUAGGAAGCGUGUAAGCGGGCGAAGUUUGGAGUCUAAGGGUGAGUUAAACUUCGACAAGGGCUCAGGGGUGAGAAGGAGGUGACGGAAGAACCCUUUGCCCGUCUUCUCAAGAGGAGGAACGCCAAAGCUUUUUCCCGAGUAGAAGCAGGAGGGUUGUGGUUUGAGCGGGACGGUGGUAGAGCUAUGACGAAGGCGGUACCAAGUCUAGUUCCUUAAGGCUUAGUAGUACGGAUACAACUACCUCCUCAUACUCUAUCCCGAGUCGAUGUGGUAGUAGUUCUACCUCGUCGUCUUAUGUUUACCUUUCCUCCCGCACCUCCACGACGUCGUCCAGGGAAAACUCCUACUGCUCGAGCCGCUCCCGGUUAAGUGGAGUUUUCACAUAGUAGACGUCUCGUUUUAAGGUAGAACCUACUUCCCGAAACGUAGGCGUUCAAGAGAGCGUCACGUACUCCUGAGGACCAGGCGAAUAGGUUUCUCGUCUUGUCAUUAGUUCACGGGAGAAAAAUCGUUCACAAGGGACUGCUAACUGUGGCACUAUUCUGGACUGUUGCCGACGAGACUUUUACGCGUGUUAAAUUUGUCGGUCGUCGAUCGACGUUCUCUCCACCUCUAGCAGCUGUAGCGCAGUCAUAGCGCCCUGAUGACCUCGUUCCACUAGUGACGAGGUUUUCAGCUGGAGUGUUGUAAGUUCAGGGUUGCCUGCCUCGCUCCGGGAGAAGACUUACCCACCUACCUAAGUACGGCAGGGCACUACUGGUAUAUGUUCGACCACCAGUACCUACGAGGGUAGACCCCGAACCCGCUUGCCGAGCUUCUGACGGAGUAGCGCCCCCUCUCCCGCGACAAAGACCGCACGGUGGCCGACACGAAGCGCACCUAUCUGCUCACCAUGCCGUACUGGUACCUCGUCUAGGCCCUCUACCUCUCCGUGUGCCUGGAUGAGGAGUUUUUCUGUGACUUUUUCCGACGUUUUGGACCCUCGUUCGUGCUCCCGUUCUCCUUCAGCGAGUUUCUGCUUUAGCGGCAACACCCCUCGACGUGGAUCACGACCAAGGCACUCUGCUAGGCAAAUAAAGUCACAGGGUAAAUCGACUUAAUGGUUUGGUCCUCCUGUAGAGUCCUAUACCCAUGUAGCUUUAUACCGAAUUAAUUGUGACAUGUAUAUACAUUCGUCGGUGACUUCUACGACGACGACAUCGGUUCCGUAGUACCCGACAUUCACGCAGACCAAAUUACAUUUCAUAACCUACUACCUUACGUAAGAAAAAGGUUUUUUCUCCCAAAUAUGAGCCUGGUGACGUAAUAUCUUACCUCUCGAGGAUAAGGCGUGGAAGCCGCGUCCUUUCCUCUCGACCGCGAGUGGUCGCGGGUUCGCCCGGCGCUGGGUCGUUACGGUCAAGCGAGCGGAAGGGGGACGAGCGAGGUCGACGAGCAGGCGAGAGAAACGUC